GAUGAACGCUAGCUACAGGCUUAACACAUGCAAGUCGAGGGGCAGCAUUUCAGUUUGCUUGCAAACUGGAGAUGGCGACCGGCGCACGGGUGAGUAACACGUAUCCAACCUGCCGAUAACUCGGGGAUAGCCUUUCGAAAGAAAGAUUAAUACCCGAUGGUAUAAUCAGACCGCAUGGUCUUGUUAUUAAAGAAUUUCGGUUAUCGAUGGGGAUGCGUUCCAUUAGGCAGUUGGUGAGGUAACGGCUCACCAAACCUUCGAUGGAUAGGGGUUCUGAGAGGAAGGUCCCCCACAUUGGAACUGAGACACGGUCCAAACUCCUACGGGAGGCAGCAGUGAGGAAUAUUGGUCAAUGGGCGCAGGCCUGAACCAGCCAAGUAGCGUGAAGGAUGACUGCCCUAUGGGUUGUAAACUUCUUUUAUAUGGGAAUAAAGUUUUCCACGUGUGGAAUUUUGUAUGUACCAUAUGAAUAAGGAUCGGCUAACUCCGUGCCAGCAGCCGCGGUAAUACGGAGGAUCCGAGCGUUAUCCGGAUUUAUUGGGUUUAAAGGGAGCGUAGGUGGACAGUUAAGUCAGUUGUGAAAGUUUGCGGCUCAACCGUAAAAUUGCAGUUGAUACUGGCUGUCUUGAGUACAGUAGAGGUGGGCGGAAUUCGUGGUGUAGCGGUGAAAUGCUUAGAUAUCACGAAGAACUCCGAUUGCGAAGGCAGCUCACUGGACUGCAACUGACACUGAUGCUCGAAAGUGUGGGUAUCAAACAGGAUUAGAUACCCUGAUAGUCCACACAGUAAACGAUGAAUACUCGCUGUUUGCGAUAUACAGUAAGCGGCCAAGCGAAAGCAUUAAGUAUUCCACCUGGGGAGUACGCCGGCAACGGUGAAACUCAAAGGAAUUGACGGGGGCCCGCACAAGCGGAGGAACAUGUGGUUUAAUUCGAUGAUACGCGAGGAACCUUACCCGGGCUUAAAUUGCAUUUGAAUAUAUUGGAAACAGUAUAGCCGUAAGGCAAAUGUGAAGGUGCUGCAUGGUUGUCGUCAGCUCGUGCCGUGAGGUGUCGGCUUAAGUGCCAUAACGAGCGCAACCCUUAUCUUUAGUUACUAACAGGUCAUGCUGAGGACUCUAGAGAGACUGCCGUCGUAAGAUGUGAGGAAGGUGGGGAUGACGUCAAAUCAGCACGGCCCUUACGUCCGGGGCUACACACGUGUUACAAUGGGGGGUACAGAAGGCAGCUACCUGGUGACAGGAUGCUAAUCCCAAAAGCCUCUCUCAGUUCGGAUCGAAGUCUGCAACCCGACUUCGUGAAGCUGGAUUCGCUAGUAAUCGCGCAUCAGCCAUGGCGCGGUGAAUACGUUCCCGGGCCU
rnacentral:rRNA from 1 species